ACACAUGCAGUCGAGCGGCAGCACAGAGGAACUUGUUCCUUGGGUGGCGAGCGGCGGACGGGUGAGUAAUGCCUAGGAAAUUGCCCUGAUGUGGGGGAUAACCAUUGGAAACGAUGGCUAAUACCGCAUGAUGCCUACGGGCCAAAGAGGGGGACCUUCGGGCCUCUCGCGUCAGGAUAUGCCUAGGUGGGAUUAGCUAGUUGGUGAGGUAAUGGCUCACCAAGGCGACGAUCCCUAGCUGGUCUGAGAGGAUGAUCAGCCACACUGGAACUGAGACACGGUCCAGACUCCUACGGGAGGCAGCAGUGGGGAAUAUUGCACAAUGGGCGCAAGCCUGAUGCAGCCAUGCCGCGUGUAUGAAGAAGGCCUUCGGGUUGUAAAGUACUUUCAGUCGUGAGGAAGGUGGUGUUGUUAAUAGCAGCAUUAUUUGACGUUAGCGACAGAAGAAGCACCGGCUAACUCCGUGCCAGCAGCCGCGGUAAUACGGAGGGUGCGAGCGUUAAUCGGAAUUACUGGGCGUAAAGCGCAUGCAGGUGGUGGAUUAAGUCAGAUGUGAAAGCCCGGGGCUCAACCUCGGAACCGCAUUUGACACUGGUUCACUAGAGUACUGUAGAAGGGGGUAGAAUUUCAUGUGUAGCGGUGAAAUGCGUAGAGAUCUGAA
rnacentral:rRNA from 1 species